AGUCAAAUUGUUGGGCAAUAUGGUAAGUCUAACUUUAUAAGAAACUAACAAACUGCUUUCCAGAGUGCACAAUUUUAUACCCCUAGCAGCAAU
rnacentral:pre_miRNA from 1 species